UUCCUGAUGGAGCCUUAAUGCCUAAAUAAAAAGAACUCGUUAUUAAUUCAUUAAAAUAAAAGAAUAAUCAAUCAUCUUUCCCCUAACAUAUAAAAAGAUCUCAAUCUAGUGAAGACCUUACUUCUCAGCCAAAUCACAUAAUUUCAAACACAAGGUAUCGCUGAUGACAUCAAUGCUAAAGAAAUUAUCAACCUACAAUCACGUUUAUGAUCCUCUUCCUACUAUUAUUGAAUGGGGAAAACCUAGCAUCAAAACUAGACAAAUUGCAAAGGCCAUUUAACACAAACAUGCAUAAUAUACUCAUUUAAUAUCAUAUAUAGAAGGCAUUGUGUAAAGAUGUAUUGCUGAAACCAGGGAGGCUCAUAACUUCCAAAAAGAUCUCGCAGAACACCAUCAACGGCUCGCAAAGUAGUUGCAGGCCAUGGACAUCCUUCCGCAGCAGGAUCAUGGAGUCAACACUUUAAAAGGCAUGUGGACAUCAGACUCUGCAUCUCAAAACUAAUUGACACGGCCAGGCUCCUGAAUUUGGAUUGA
rnacentral:misc_RNA from 1 species